AGUGAAGCGGGAAAAGCUCAAAUUUAAAAUCUGGUGGUCUUCGGCCAUCCGAGUUGUAAUCUAGAGAAGUGUUACCCGCGUCGGACCGUGUACAAGUCUCCUGGAAUGGAGCGUCAUAGAGGGUGAGAAUCCCGUCUUUGACACGGACUACCGAGGCUUUGUGGUGCGCUCUCAAAGAGUCGAGUUGUUUGGGAAUGCAGCUCAAAAUGGGUGGUAAAUUCCAUCUAAAGCUAAAUAUUGGCGAGAGACCGAUAGCGAACAAGUACCGUGAGGGAAAGAUGAAAAGAACUUUGGAAAGAGAGUUAAACAGUACGUGAAAUUGCUAAAAGGGAAACGCUUGAAGUCAGUCGCGUUGGCCGGAAAUCAGCCUUGCUUUUGCGGGGUGUACUUUCUGGUUGACGGGCCAGCAUCAGUUUUGACCGGUGGAAAAAGUCUAGGGGAAUGUGGCAUCUUCGGAUGUGUUAUAGCCCUUGGUCGUAUACAUCGGUUGGGACUGAGGAACUCAGCACGCCGCAAGGCCGGGUCUUUGACCACGUUCGUGCUUAGGAUGCUGGCAUAAUGGCUUUAAUCGACCCGUCUUGAAACACGGACCAAGGAGUCUAACAUGCCUGCGAGUGUUU
rnacentral:rRNA from 1 species